rnacentral:lncRNA from 1 species
GAUGGCAUUUGGCAUUUGUAUAACACACAACACACAACAUAUCAAGCCAAAAGAAUCAAAAACAAGUUUGAGUAAUAAAAGUUUCUCUUCUCCAAAAACUUUCUACUCUUCCAAAAUUCCCUUAGCCUAAAAGCCUCCCUCCAAAUAUUAAUAGCAAUCCUCUUCCAACAAUACCAGUCGAAAUACUUUUGCUCUUGUGAUCUUGCCUUUAGUAUGUUGCACUCUCCAGUCAAGAUGUUGCUCCUAAUUCUACGUCCUGGUAUAAUCAUGUUCCAUUCACAAUUGACAAAUAGAUGGUCUCUAUUUUUCUCAUGGCUGUGGUAUAGAGUAGAUUGUGUAUCCAUUGUCAAACCCCACUUUGUCAAUUUAUUUGUGGUUGGGAGUCUUCCAUGUAAUAACAUCUACAUAGUAUGAUGUGCUUUAGGCCUCGCACAUUUCUAAAAUAUUAGCUUCUACCCACGUGUAUAUCUACUGUUAAUCGGUACAAACUUUAAAAAAUGGAUGAUUACCAAAAAUAUUUAAAUAAUUUGAUUAAAAAAACUACAAAGUGAAGAUGUACGUAGUUGCCGAAGUGUAAUAUCAAGUGUCAAAUAUAAAAAGACUAAUCCAAAUAGCUUAGUAACUAUUUGUGAAGUAAAUAUAAAGCCGUCAUAGUGCACUGUUAAACAUCAAGAUAAAUUGUAAAAAAAUAUUAUUAUCACAAAGACAUGCAUACAGUUCAUCAACUUAUUAUAUAAUUAUAAACCAUAUGAAAUACAACUCUUAGCUGCAGAAGAAUUUCAAGAAAGAAGCUAAGGUAUGGGCUCACAAGAAACAUUCUUAAUCUUUUCAAUGGUAGGAAUCAUCAACCGCACCACUACUCUUCAUUAGUUUUAUAUGAGCAUGAGAACUGGUAUAGAAAAGA